GGAUUCGGUGUCACCUAGGAUGGUAGCGGUGACCAAGUAACAAACAACGCAACAAAAUUAAUAGGUUUAUUGAUUCAAUUCUACAAUACAGACAAUCUCAGCAAAAACGGGAAAUCAGAAAAAGCAUAAAUUAUAUCAAUCUGUAUACUUUAACUCGGUUACUGAGAUAAUUUGUACUGUCUACAACUACUGUGUCCUUACCUCACCAAUUUAUUGUCAGUCAGAACCGUUGAACAAGUUAGUCGGAUCCGGGAGCCGGGAAAUUAUGAUAUUUGGAGAUUGAGAAUCGUGGAUUUUGUAGAGUCGGGAAGGAAUGAAAACUAAUCCUAGCGCGUUGAAAAACUCCACCGGUACACCACCCUCUCGUUGUCUCUAUCAAAUGAAACCCUUGAAUAUUCACUCGUAAGAAAGUCACAAGUAAAAAUUAGCAAACUCCCCAGAAAAAGACUAACAAGUAAGUUUACUGAUGAAAAUGGCGAUUUUCGACCUCAGAAACGGAUUUGUAAUUAUUGGCGUUCAAUUACCAAUUUUACUAUUUUCCGGUCACCUGGUAACCACUUAACCAAAAUGUCUUUUCUAAAACUAAAACUACUGCCUAAACUUCUAAAUCUAACUAACUAACUACUGAACUAACUACUACCUAAAUCUAUCUGAAUAACUAACUUUACUAUACUACUGAAUCUGAAAAUCUCUACUAUCUAAACUACUGAAAACUACUAAGCAACUAUCUGAAUGCCUGAACAUCAAUUUUAACUAUACUCUAUCUACUGACUGCCUAAACAUGAAUUCCCGAUUUUGGGUCGGUUACCCCCUUUUAUAACUUCGGUGCGGGACGGUGAAGGAAUUCGGUCCACGUGACUCUUCAUGUCGACAAAAACCUCGUUUUUCGAGAAAAUUCUCUUGGCGGAACGUAAUCUGACAUAUGGAAAAAAAUAUAUCAGCGGUAAAAACGCCGAAAUAAAUAAUUUCUUAUAUUAUUUCACUCGGAUUAUUCGAGGCCCUGGUCGGUUGAAAAACAUGAAGCAUGGACUUUUUCAUUAUCGCGGUGAACAAUUAAUAAAUUAUUUCCAAUAUUUACGGAAUAUAUCAGAAUGAUUAAUUUAAACGGAAAACAAUAAAAUAUUCUUUAGACGGAGCCUGAUCAUUCCUAUGGGAAUAAUCAGACUUCGUUACAUCCCCCCUGGUUCGGAAAAAUUCAAGUUACGGUGAAACAGAAAUUUGAAUUCUAAAAAACAAACAAAAAAUAACCGAAUACUAUCCUGUCUUAUUACGCGGGAUAUAUGGGAAGUACGGGUCUGACUGUUACGUUACGCUAUCAAAGAUUAUAAUGUUGUUGUAGACAGUUUGACAUAUAAAAAUAAAACUUUGCUCUAUGAAUCGAUGUCAAAUUCAAACGUCGUCUUCUUUCUUCUGUCAUCCGGGGUGAUUUGAAUGUUUGGAAAUUUCUUCAUCUCGGGGUUGUGGAGUAGAACUCAUUCCCAUUUCCAUGAAGUUUCCAAGUGUCGGUGAAAAAUUCAAACGCCGUCUUCCUUCUUCGGUCAUCCGGGGUGAUUUGAAUGUGUACAUGUUUGGGGAAUUUCUUCAUCUCGGGGUUGUGGAGUAGAACUCGUUCCCAUUUCCAUGAAGUUUCCAAGUGUCGGUGAAAUAAUCUGAUGUCAGGUGUGGAUUAUCCCAUUCUCCGAGGGACGUCGAAGUUCCCAGUCAGAUGAGUCGAAACCAUUCCAAACCCAUUGAAUAUACUGGUUGAUUUACCUGUGGAUAUUACAAGGAAUCAGUGACUGUAUGGUGAAAUUUUCAGAACGGUGAAAAUUCUUCCAGUUAUACAGUUUAAAUUAUCUAUAUGAAAAUUGAAAUGGAAUCCAGAUGUCCACCAGAGUAAUAAUUGACAGGUCAUGAUGUCUAAUUCUUCAAGUACUUCUUUCUUGGAUGAUGACAUGAAUAAAUCUUCAGGAAUCAUGUCUUCGGUGGAAUUGGGCCUACAGCUGAUCAUCCGAUGAAAGGUGUGUUGCCUAUCUCCAGCAUUUAUUCUCAUCGGUGUUGCAGUAUGGGAGACCUGGGCAGUUGGCAGUGGGAGUUCAUCAUCUUCCAAAUCUAUCAGUGAUGUCUUCAGUUGUGCAACCUUGGUUGGUUGAAUGGGAGACAUCUCAGGCGACUGUGGAAUCUCUGCCUCCAAAAGCGAUCCAUCCGGUCGGGUUGAUGGUUGCUGUCUGUCAGCAGUCAACGUUGCCUCCAAUGAACUCAAGGCCCGAGCUGCAGUCUCCUUUAAGUGUUCUAUCAUCUGUGACUCGGUUUCAUUUUUAGUGAUAAUAAAAUUCAGUCUUCUCUGAA